rnacentral:rRNA from 1 species
UACGGAGGGGGCUAGCGUUGCUCGGAAUCACUGGGCGUAAAGCGCACGUAGGCGGAUUGUUAAGUCAGGGGUGAAAUCCUGGAGCUCAACUCCAGAACUGCCUUUGAUACUGGCGAUCUUGAGUCCGGGAGAGGUGAGUGGAACUCCGAGUGUAGAGGUGAAAUUCGUAGAUAUUCGGAAGAACACCAGUGGCGAAGGCGGCUCACUGGCCCGGUACUGACGCUGAUGUGCGAAAGCGUGGGGAGCAAACAGG